ensembl:processed_transcript 4930432L08Rik RIKEN cDNA 4930432L08 gene
GACUUUAGCAGUGUCUCUCUUUGUUAGUCACAUGAUGCUCCUGUUGCGCUCCAUCUUCUCGUCUACUACUGCCAUGUCCAAGACAAGGCAAGACACAGCAGAAGAGGGCAUCAGAUCCCAUUACAGACAGUUUGGAGAACCAUGUGAUUGCCAGGAAUUGAACUCAGGACCUCCGGAAGAGCAGUCAGUGCUCUUAACUGCUGAGCCAUCUCUCCAGCCCGUCUUUCUGGAUUUUUAAAAGAGACUCUGAUGCCUAAUAAUAUUUAACUUUUCUUAUUUUGACAAAUGAAGAUAGAGCCUUGCUACACAGCCCAGGCUAGCCUGGAACCUACCUUUAUCUUGGCUCAGCACCCCAAUGCUUCAAUUACAGGACUCUGGUAUUCUGCCUGGAAGAAAUAAGGAUGACAUAACAAAUUAAGCGACACCAGAACAAGGGCGAAUCCUUCUUAAGGAUGCGUUGAGGGACGAGCUGCAGCAACGGAUGCACAACAGAGGACUGGGAGGACAUGAACACACACGAUGAGCACGGGGGCUCCUCAGCAUUGGGCGUUAAGAUGGCUUCCUGUCUGUCUGUCUGUCUGUCUGUCUGUUUCUACCCACUAUUCUCACCCCAGGUCAAAGGACAAGAAAAGGAAAUGAAAGGUAUUAUCUAAGAAAGCCCAUUGAGAGCCCUUUAAAGUGAAUAAAUCAAGGGGUAGGACAGAUGGCUAGUCAUACACUAAGCAGUGGCCCAUUAUUUGGAGAAGCACUUUGCUGAAGGCCUCGGAUCUGUUACAACUGCAACAGGUGCAGCCCCAGGUCACCUCUCUGGAAGGCAAAAAGCCAUCUGUCAAUGUCUACACUUACUCAAAAUAAUCCCCGGUCCAGACCAAGGCCACUUGCAAGUAUCAGUUUUCCCUUACAAACAUUGUUAUCUGGAUGCUUCUAGCACACAUGCCUGGAAAUCUCCUUCAUAAAUUAAACAUUUAAAAUGGACCAGGAGCAAGACAACAGGGGACACAAAGAUGACAAUGCGCUCUAGUAGCAAAAAAGGUAACGAAGACGCACUUUCUAAAAAUGAGAUGUCACGCAGGAGAAAAUGAGCGCACACCUGAGACACAGCUACCUGACAGAGUGGCUCUCUUAAGGUCUAAGUUGAGCUGAGCCUCCUUGCUAAUAUUAAAUUCAUUUAACAGAUGGGUGAGUUUUAGCCCUAGAUAAUGGUUAUCUGUUCAUGAAUACAACUUGUGUUUGGUAUGUAGCUAAUCUUGUUUAAAACUUCCAUCUGUUCAUAUGUAGGAUUAUCCCAUGAGGCACGCACUUAGAGUGGAGUUUAAAUUUUCAUUUACCUUUCCACAUACAUGUUUUAAAACACACUUUCCUUUUCAUUCUCUAAACUGCACCUAGUAGUGGAUCACAAGCUUAAAAGGAAUAUUAUGGUCAAAAAAUAAAUUCCAUAUUUAUUAAUAUUUUCCAGUGCAGAAGAUCAAACCCCGGGUCCUUGCUUAUGCUAGGUGAGGGGUCUGCUUCUACACCUCAGCCCUAGCCAGUUUGUAUGUUUUAAGUCCAUGC